ACCUAUCAAUCGGGGUGCUAUUUAUGGCUGAGAUGAUACCCGUGAACCUGAUACAGUUAAAACUGGCGUAGGAAAUUGAUAAAAAUUGACG
rfam:Moraxella lacunata strain CCTG 57757A contig_90, whole genome shotgun sequence.